GACGAACGCUGGCGGCGUGCUUAACACAUGCAAGUCGAGCGGUAAGGCCCUUCGGGGUACGACGAGCGGCGAACGGGUGAGUAACACGUGGGUGACCUGCCUCUAGCUCUGGGAUAAGCCUGGGGAACCGGGUCUAAUACCGGAUAUGACUCCAUGACGCAUGUUGUGGGGUGGAAAGCCUUGUGCGGCUGAGGAUGGGCCCGCGGCCUAUCAGCUUGUUGGUGGGGUGAUGGCCUACCAAGGCGACGACGGGUAGCCGGCCUGAGAGGGCGACCGGCCACACUGGGACUGAGACACGGCCCAGACUCCUACGGGAGGCAGCAGUGGGGAAUCUUGGACAAUGGGCGCAAGCCUGAUCCAGCCAUGCCGCGUGAGUGAAGAAGGCCUUAGGGUGUAAAGCUCUUUUACCAGGGACGAUAAUGACGUACCUGGAGAAUAAGCCCGCAAACUUCGUGCCAGCAGGCCGCAGUAAC
rnacentral:rRNA from 1 species